rnacentral:lncRNA from 1 species
GCGGCAGAAGAGCCUGACAGGGUGCUGUGUGGGCCCUCGCUGACUCGGCUCAAGAAGGGGUGGAGAAGAGGACAAGCCUUCUGGCUGGAACAGCUGUGCAGGAGACCGACCUCCCGCCCUCAGUGUUGCAGCCACGGUCCUAGUGGACCCUCCUUACCCCCUGUGCAAAGGCACAGCACAAGGACAAGUCCUCUCCUCCCUGUAUGGUCUUGAUUCACCAUGGUCAAGCCGUGAGCUCCCCCCACCUCCUCUGGGGUACCCUCCAGGGCCCCCAGGCUUGCUGAGUCCCUGCUUCUCUGCAAAGGGAAAAAAAGAAGUAAACAACAGCUGCCAGGGGGCUCUGUCAGUCCACAGUCAUUCAUUACCAUGCAAAGACCUCUGGGGAGCAGUUGUCUUAGGGACCCCAUCUGGAUGA